rnacentral:hammerhead_ribozyme from 1 species
AUCCAGAUGACGAGUCCAAAAUAAGACGAAGUAUCGCGCGUCUUGAAU